GGGGGUGGUGGACAAGUGGUGAAGCCAUUAGCCUGCCAUCUCUAGGACUCGGGUUUGAGUCCCGACGCUUCCA